GUUUAGGGGUAGAACUGUCCAAUAAAUUCAAGGAAUCAGUUGGGAGAGCGACUAUUGAAGAUGGCUUUAGAAAUGUAUUUAGACCUUUUCAAGGAGAACAACAUUCCUUUUGAUUUCAAAACUGUUUCACUUAUGGAAGCAUUGCCAUUAUGAAGUACCUGGCAUAGAAGCACAAGACCGCAGACCACGGGAAUCCAGCCGACCUGCAGAAGCUCACCCGUGUCAAUGAAGAACUGUCCUGGCAGCACAUGGGAAUACGUAUGCAUGGCUCCAAGAUGUAUUGGCUCAGGCUGUUGAUACCAAAGAUCAUGGGUGUGGAAGUCCCCAAGGACAAGAUGGAUAGAGCCCUGGAGGACCUGGAGGGCUGGUCGAGAACAUGGACGGCAGGUCUUCAAGCCCAAGAUCUUGAGAUUGUUCUUCUGAAUUCUCCAGUGACAGUGCAGUGAAGCUGGUCCUCUGUGAAAUAAUCAAGCUGGAUCUGUUAUUCAGCCACUAUGCACCAUGUAACAUAAUAACAAAAUAAAACAUUCUCUAUGGAAAUUCA